GCAGCCGCCGCGGUAAUACGUAGGGGGCGAGCGUUGUCCGGAUUUAUUGGGCGUAAAGGGCGCGUAGGCGGCUUGUUAAGUCUGGUGUGAAAGCCCGAGGCUCAACCUCGGUAAGCACUGGAAACUGGCGAGCUUGAGUACUGGAGAGGGUCGUGGAAUUCCCAGUGUAGCAGUGAAAUGCGUAGAGAUUGGGAGGAACACCAGUGGCGAAGGCGGCGACCUGGACAGAUACUGACGCUGAGGCGCGAAAGCUGGGGGAGCAAACGGGAUUAGAUACCCCGGUAGUCCCAGCCGUAAACGAUGGAUACUAGGUGUAGGAGGUAUCGACCCCUUCUGUGCCGCAGCUAACGCAAUAAGUAUCCCGCCUGGGGAGUACGGCCGCAAGGUUGAAACUCAAAGGAAUUGACGGGGGCCCGCACAAGA
rnacentral:rRNA from 1 species